rnacentral:rRNA from 1 species
UACCGAGGUGCCGAGCGUUAGGCGGAAUCACUGGGCUUAAAGCGUGUGUAGGCGGACUUCUAAGUACCUUGUGAAAUCCCACGGCUCACCCGUGGAACUGCUGGGUAUACUGGUCGUCUUGAGCCACCUAGGGGCCAGCGGAACAAAUGGUGGAGCGGUGAAAUGCGUAGAUAUCAUUUGGAACGCCAACGGUGAAAACAGCUGGCUGGGGGUGUGCUGACGCUGAGACACGAAAGCCAGGGGAGCGAACGGG